GAAAGGAAAUAUAUAUUUUUGAAAUGUCGAUUACUGCCAUGAUAUCAAAAGCUGACAUUUAUUACAAAUUUCUGAAAUCCUUUAUAAGCAAAUAUUUGAUUAAACAAAAAUAAAAAAUGUUACUAGGAGAUAUAAUUUCCACCUGGUUGUUGAGUACAUUAGUAUCAGAGAAAUUCAUAUAACUAUAUUUAAACAGAACUUCAGUUUAGGUUCUUUUCAGACCACAAUUACAGAACUUGUUCAAAAUCCCACUAGUUUCUUUUUAACAGUCUUGGUAAGAGAUGAAACUGAUAUACUUCAGAGGCCAUUUCCAUAGAAGCACUGCUUUUAAAAAUCAUGCAAAAAAAAAGCCAAAUACAGAUGUUAUAUUUUAACCCGGGCUGCAGCUAUUUGUGUUGAUCUGAAAGCUUACAAGUAAAUCCACUGUUACGAAUCAGCACUGUGGGAGCUAUCAGCUAUCAAUGAGAACCCUUCUGUGGUUUCUUUUGGUCACGUGGCAUCAUUAUGAUUCCCUUCUCCUUGCUGUAAGUGGGUAAAGGUCAAGAAAUGCCUAGGCAAAUACGAAGAGAAGUUAUUUUGGCAUAGAAUCUCAUUUUUUACUACCAGCUCCUAAUGUUUUUCUCACAAUACGUGCACCUAUUAGCAGGAGAUAGGAUUUCUAUUUACAGAUCCACAUAAAGCUUCAAGGAAAUAACCAGUGUUAGUACCUCCUCACCUGAAAAAGGCUUAAGUAAACACUAAUUAAAACAUUUAGGAUCUUAGUUGCAUCAAUACUUCUCUACUUGAAAGGUCGUUUAAAUGAAAAGGUUUCUUCUUACUGUUUGAUUUACCUAGGACUCUAAGAAACCAAGAAGUCAUAGCUUUCCCUUAAAUUACACAUAUACAUAUGUUGUAAGAAUAUAGAAAAUUAAAUAAAUAAAAUAAUUAAAUAUUGAGUUAAAUGCAUGACUACGUAUAUUAAAUUUGGAAAUUGAAAGCAUUAAUAGAACAGAGAAACCAGCUAAAACAAAUUGUAGCUUUUAAAAUAAACAAUAAAGCCUGUUAUUUAUUAUCUGAAAGCCAGUAAUACAUUUACUUCUUUGGUACCCAUCAAAAUAGUUGCAUUUGCAGAGGAUGUAUAGGGCAGUGAAACUACUCUAUAUUAUAAUGAUGGAUACAUAUCAUCAUACAUUUAUCAAAACCUAUAGAAUGUAUAACACCAAGAGGGAACCCUAAUGUAAACCAUGAACUUUGGAUGAUAAUGAUAUUUGAGAGUAGGUUCACCGAUUCUAACAAUGUACCAUUGUGGUGCAGGAUACUGAUAGCGUGGGAGGCUGUUGAGGGCUUUGUUGGGGGAGAAAGGAAACUCUAUCUUCCUCUCAAUUUUUCUGUUAACCUACAACUGCUCUAAAAAAAA